UAUUUUUUACUUUUUUUGAAAACAGAGAAGAUUUUCGAGAUUUUGCAAGAAUUUGUUUUGAAGAGUUUGGAGAUAAAGUUAAGAUGUGGACAACAAUCAACGAACCUUAUAUAAUGACUGUUGCGGGUUAUGAUCAAGGUAACAAGGCGGCUGGACGAUGCUCAAAAUGGGUAAACGAAAAGUGUCAGGCUGGAGAUUCGAGUACCGAGCCUUACAUUGUUUCACAUCACACUCUUCUUGCCCAUGCCGCUGCAGUGGAAGAAUUUCGAAAAUGUGAAAAAACUUCGCAUGAUGGCCAAAUUGGGAUAGUACUAUCACCAAGAUGGUUCGAGCCUUAUCAUUCCGAUUCAACUGACGAUAAAGAAGCAGCUGAACGAGCUCUUGCCUUUGAAAUUGGAUGGUAAG
rnacentral:sRNA from 1 species